AUCCAGCUGACGAGUCCCAAAUAGGACGGAUCGCGUAUCCAAGAU
rnacentral:hammerhead_ribozyme from 1 species